rnacentral:hammerhead_ribozyme from 1 species
GCACUGCUGAGGAGUCCCACAAUAGGACCAAACGGUUGUCCAGUGC